AUUUAGAGGUGAUGUGUGGCCUACCAGAAAUUGCAUCAUCAGCGAUGGACGGGCAAAGACAGCACGGGAUUUCUCAAAGAUAUCAUGAUUUUUCUUCAAUAACAGUGUUUUCUUUCCAACUACAGGCCUUUGGAAAUCAAACCAGCCUGAGAGCUCCCACCAGAUCCUGAGUCUGCCGCUGCCUUGAUCUUGGACUUGCAGCCUCCAGAAAGCUCCCCCACCCGCCACCUUCUGGAUGAUGUCCUGGCUCGCUCUGACUGGCCUGAAGGCCCAGCAGGGUCUGCCCUGGCCCACUUUCCAGCCCCGGCGGUGACCACCUGCUCUUCCCACAGCCUCUGAUGUCAUGUCCUCUAAAGUCUUUCCUGGCCCCCAAGGUGGACCCUCCUCAGAUGCUCCCUCCCCCAGAGCCCCACCUGCACAGCUGGUGCCGGGCCGCUUUCCCCGCAGAGUUCUGGAAGCUCCCGCAGCAGAGGGACCGCGGUGGCCCCGGGCAGGCAGGGCAGCGUCCAGAGGCAGAACGACGUGUCUCCCGGCCCUGGGCAGUCGCUUUCAGUGUCAUCCCUGGGAACUUCUUGGGAAUGUGAAUUCUCGGGCCGCACCCCAAGCCUGCCGAAUCAGUUCUGGGGACGCAUAGGUCUGCUCUGAGCAGCCCCCAGAGGGUUCCGAGGCCCACGGAGGCUUCUAGCCAGACACCCCUGGUUAUAUCAGGAGGGGGUGUUAAUGAGCAUCUGGCUGAGGGAAGAAACACAGCCGGAAGUGCCAAGUGAAAGUCCAAGGCCCAAGCGGUGGACAUUUCCCAGAGUUCCUGUGGUGGCUGUUGUCUUCUUAGGCCUGGACAUUUCGUGUGUCAUGUGUACAGACUCAUAAAAUGGUAUUGCUGAGGAAGAACCCUAAAGGUCACUCUGUGCCGUUUUUCAAGUUACAGUCGAGCAGCACAGGACUGGAGCGGCUCAGCUGCCUCAGCGGGGGCCUGCCCGGGAGCAGGGUUGGCUGUGUGGGGCAGCCCAGGCCGCUGCGGGCAGAGACCCCCACAGAGCCGGUGGGGGAGGCGCUCCCAGCAGGAGUGCCCCCCGACCCCUUCCUCUGCACCCCCCAGCCUGCCUGGGGGUGGGGUGCUGGGGUCAUGAGUGCUUAUGCCACUCCAGACAGGCCCACCCCAAUUGUUGGAGGCUUUGUGAGAAUUUGGGGUCCAUGGCUCCUUUUUUCCUUCAGUUUUUGCCCAAUUCUUGGGCAAAGGGGAAAUUUGCGAUGUCUGUGCACACCAGCUUGUGCCAGGCUGAGAAAUUAAGAACUGAGCUGGGCCGGGUCUUUCUCUUCUCCAGAGAGCUUAUAAGCAGGGCCACACGGGGGACAAACACGUGUAACACACACGCCCCCUUCUUACGCCCCACAAACCCAAGCACCAGAUUUCCAGGCGAUGGUGCCAAGACUGGGGUGACCACAUAAUUUAGUCUCUAAAGCAGGACACGUGUGAGAGCUACAGGGGGAAACAUAAAGAGCCUAGGGCCACAGCAUGAGCAGGGUGAGCCCCGGCUGUCCUGGGCAAGGGUGCAGCGUGGCCAACUAUGAACGGGGUGAGGGCGGUUAUGAAGGAUUUCCACUGACAUGUUGCGACAAGCAAAAACACAACGCCGGUUAUAAAACGUCCUUGUCUCGCCCGGAUCUAUGGGCACCAGAAAGAGGGACUUCCAUGGCCCUUAAGGGCAAAUGGAAUGAGACGUAAGGGAUGGCAUGGCAUGAAGGGUGGCAGUUGGCCAUUUGAGGACGCAGGGGGCUGGCUCUAAGUCACCAGUUCUGGGGAGCUUCUGGUGUCC